GGUGAACGCUGGCGGCGUGCCUAAUACAUGCAAGUCGAGCGAACAGACGAGGAGCUUGCUCCUCUGACGUUAGCGGCGGACGGGUGAGUAACACGUGGAUAACCUGCCUAUAAGACUGGGAUAACUUCGGGAAACCGGAGCUAAUACCGGAUAAUAUAUUGAACCGCAUGGUUCAAUAGUGAAAGACGGUUUUGCUGUCACUUAUAGAUGGAUCCGCGCCGCAUUAGCUAGUUGGUAAGGUAACGGCUUACCAAGGCAACGAUGCGUAGCCGACCUGAGAGGGUGAUCGGCCACACUGGAACUGAGACACGGUCCAGACUCCUACGGGAGGCAGCAGUAGGGAAUCUUCCGCAAUGGGCGAAAGCCUGACGGAGCAACGCCGCGUGAGUGAUGAAGGUCUUCGGAUCGUAAAACUCUGUUAUUAGGGAAGAACAAAUGUGUAAGUAACUAUGCACGUCUUGACGGUACCUAAUCAGAAAGCCACGGCUAACUACGU
rnacentral:rRNA from 1 species